UGUAAGCGUAUACCAAAGUUGUUGCAGUUAAAACGCUCGUAGUCGGAAUUUGGCAGUUCCGGAUGUGUGCACGUCGUGUGCGCACUUCGCGGGGAUUGCUUUUGUGGUCUUGCGUAGGAUGAGGCACUUUUAUUAGUGAACGUCCUCAGGCAACCACUUUUUACUGUGAGAAAAUCAGAGUGCUCAAAGCAGGCAUUUGCCGUGAAUGUAUUAGCAUGGGAUAAUAGAAUAGGACUUGGUUCUAUUUUGUUGGUUUGUUGGGACUGAGUAAUGAUUAAGAGGGACAGUUGGGGGCAUUUGUAUUUCGGUGCUAGAGGUGAAAUUCUUAGAUUACCGAAAGACAAACUGCUGCGAAAGCGUCUGCCAAGGAUGUUUUCAUUGA
rnacentral:rRNA from 1 species